CUUGUGUAUAUAGGAGGUCUAGCCUGCCCACUGAGAAUUAAAGGGCCGCGGUAUUUUGACCGUGCAAAGGUAGCAUAAUCAUUAGUCUUCUAAUUAAAGGCUGGAAUGAAUGGUUGGACGAGGUAUUAGCUGUCUCUUUGGAAUUAAUUUGAAUUUAACUUUCUAGUGAAAAGGCUGGAAUAGUAUUGGAGGACGAGAAGACCCUAUAGAGCUUUAUACUUAUCUUUAUUUUAAUUUAUUUGGUAGGAGUGUAAUUUUGUGGGGAGAGUAUUUCGUUGGGGUGACGGGAAGAUAAGAUAAACUCUUCUUAAAGUAAAACAUAAAUGUAUGAUUUAAUUGAUCCAUUAUUAAUGAUUAAAAGACUAAGUUACCUUAGGGAUAACAGCGUAAUCUUUUUUGAGAGUUCUAAUCGACAAAAAGGGUUGCGACCUCGAUGUUGGACUAAGGGUUAUUCUUGGGUGUAGCAGUUCAAGGUUUAGGUCUGUUCGACCUUUGAAUCCUUA
rnacentral:rRNA from 1 species